GAUAAUUUAAAUAGCUGCAGUAUUUUAACUGUACAAAGGUAGCAUAAUCAAUAGUUUUUUAAUUAAAAGCUGGAAUGAAUGAUUUGAUAAGGUAGAUAUUGUCUCAAUUUUAUUAAAAUUAGAAUUUUUUUUUUUUAGUAAAAAAACUAAAAUAGAUUUAAAAGACGAGAAGACCCUAUAGAUUUUUAUAUUUUUUUAUUUAAAAAAUUUAAAAUAAUAAAUAAAUUUUAAUAAAAAAAUAUUUGGUUGGGGAAAUUAUUAAAUUUAAUUAAUUUUAAUUAUUAAAAAACAAUAAUAUUUGGUUAUUUGAUCUUAUUAUAUAAAUUAGUAGAAUAAAAUACCUUAGGGAUAACAGCGUAAUUUUUUUUGAGAGAUCUAAUUGAUAAAAAAGUUUGCGACCUCGAUGUUGAAUUAAGAUAAAAUUUUAAUGAAGAAAU
rnacentral:rRNA from 1 species